AAUUUAGCUGUAUUUAAGGGCAAAAUGAUAAUUACAUCACAAGGUUAAAAUAGAACUCUAGAAGGAUCCAUUUUCUUUCUCAUUUCUAACAAAAAAAGAGCACCAACGUGCAACAUCUAACUCAUUUCUUCAUCUUCUUCAUCCAGGUUAAGCCUGAAGGAAGAGAAGAAGAAAGGAUAUUCAUGAGAUGAAGGUACAAUGAAGUACACCAGGAAAUUAACAUAAUAUGCUACUCUUUCAGGAGGAUUUUUAUUUGUUCAAGUCAAGAUGGUGAAAAAUAUGCACAGGAACUUAUGCGGACUCCUUUAAGUUGAAAUAUGGUUAAUUAAAGUUAAGAGUUACCAUAUCAAAAAAGAAAAAUAUAAAUUGACGCAAAAAUGAUGCCAAGAACAAACCAAAAGUUUGAGAAAGAAAAAUACAUAUUUCUUAGGUCGAAUGCAUUUCAAGCAUGUGAUGCUCUUGCAGAUAGAAUUAUACAAACUAGUUAUCAAUGUUAGUUGGCUGAUCAAGCAUUAGAAGUUAAUUGAUUAACUUUUGAUUGAAAGGUUCAGAUAAGCACCAUUUCUAGCGGACUAUAUCUUGAAAGACAUUAUAUGUCUGAUUGUAUAAGCUCUCCUAUAUUUUAUAACAUCUAAACAAUUUCCAUCUUUCGAUUUUGAUAGAUACUAAUUAAUUAUCAAAGAGAGUUGAAAUGA